GGCUUUAGAAAAGAAAAAAUAUUUAAGAUGCCUGCAGGCUACCUCGACCUUGAACAAGGAGGUGGUGAUACUAGAGCGUCUCAUCCUUCAGUGAGUCCUGCCGAAGCUGCACAAAUCUGUUGUGAGAAUUCACAGACCUCUGCGCCUUCCCUUGGCUUGAAAUUACCUUCUGGUAUAAAUUGCUUCUGUGGAGUGGGAUGGCUUUGAUUUCUGUGCAGAGCGACCAACAUAGAAUAACUGUACAGAUCAUUGUUCUCAUCUCCCUGGGA
rnacentral:lncRNA from 1 species